CUGGUUUUGAAAUGUGAAGACAUGAGAUUUGGGAGUGGCCAGGGGUGGAAUGAUAUGGUUUGGCUGUGUCUCCACCCAAAUCUCAUCUUGAAUUCUCAGGUGUUGUGGGAGGGACCCAGUGGAAGGUAAUUGAAUCACGGGGGCAAAUCUUUCCCCUGGUGUUCUCGUGAUAGCGAAUAGUCUCACAAGAUCUAAUGGUUUGAAAAAUGGGAGUUUCCCUGCACAAGCUCUCUUCUCUAGUCCGCUGCCAUGUGAGAAUUGCCUUUCACCUUCUACCAAGAUUGUGAGCCCCACCAGGGAUGUGGAACUGGAGAUGAAGCAAGAUGGCUGAAUAGAAGCCUCAACCAAUCGCUGCCCCCACCACAGGAACACCAAAUUUAACAACUAUCUACACAAAAAAGCACCUUCACAAGAACCAAAAAUCAGGUAAGUGAUCACAGUACCUGAUUUUAACUUCAUAUUGCUGAAAGAGACACUGAAGAGAGUAGGAAAGACAGUUUUCGAUUGUCUACUACCCCUUCCACCCCCAUGCAGUGGC
rnacentral:lncRNA from 10 species